GGACUUUGGGCCCAAGAAGGUUUACGCUGAGCUCCCAGACACAGGCUGCAGUAGUGGUUUGAAAUACUGAGUGAAGUGUGUUCCUCUUUCAGUAGCUGGAGGAAAGAUCCUAAAGAAAAUGAUUUCCAGAGGAAAAAAAAGAGUCCUGGAAACCUGAGGAAGAGUGUGUCAACUGUUUAGUGGGAUGUAGUCGUUCUUUUCUGCCUGUCAGCUCUGUCUUGGAUAUCCACAUCGUGCCCGGAUCUUCUAAAUGACAACCCAGCAAAUGGUUAAAAUCAAGGAGGCUUCAUCAGCAGAAGAUCUGGCCCUGAUCUUCCAGCUCAAGGAGACCAAGAGCAGCCUGUUACAAGAUCUGAGUCUUUCCUCCAUUCCUGUUGGCCACAAUGGAUGCUGAAUGUGGAAGUGGAUGGACCUUUGCUGUGAUCAUUGUCACCAUGCUGAUGCACAACUCACCUGCUUGCCCAGAGCCUUGUUAGCCCUGCUGGUGGCCACACAUGCCAUGUCCUCUCCAGCUGUGUCACUGAGCUGAACUGCCCACCUCUGUCUAGUCCAAAGACAUUUUGCAGGUCCACCUUCCUUGCCCUGACCUUGCAAACGUGCUGAUCCUUGCCAAGGGCGCUGUGUUUGUGUGGGGCUCUCCAGCUGCCCAGGGACAGUUUGGAAGAGGAUCGCUCUGGGAAGUCUGUCCCAUGACUACAAAGGGUUUGCUGCCCCCCUAUGGAUUUGACCGGAGCGGCUUGGGCCAGGGCACUAGGGUGGAGAAGGUGAUGGCUGGUGGAGCCAGCUCCACCAUCCUGCCCUAUCCUCCCGGUUCAGGCUCUCCCUGUCCUCUUGUGAAGCUGAAAGGUUGGAGUCUGGGCUCCCAUUCAACUGAUUACAUAAAUGUAGCAGAACAACAAGGUUUUCCCCAAAGCAGCUCCAUCUGUGCAGGGCACUUGUUCCUCAGGACUCCCUUGGUCGUGCUGUGCUUUGCUGGAGUUGGUGCCAAGCUCAAUACCCACAGUUUAAAAAUAACAUUUGGGUGUGACAGCUCCAUUAUUUACCUAGGAGCCAACAUUGUCUGGGAGGCAGAGCCAACCAGCUGGAAGUCUGGAGCAAGACAUUCUCUUCUUGUCUACCACUGAGUUGUGUGUUACCUCCUGCUGCCUCAGUUUCCCUGCCUGAUGAGUCAGGAAUAAAAGAAAACAGCUCAUGAAAA